rnacentral:rRNA from 1 species
AGAGCGAACGCUGGCGGCGUGCUUAACACAUGCAAGUCGAACGCGCAGCAUUCUGUAGCAAUACAGGGUGUGGGCGCGUGGCGAACGGGUGCGUAACACGUGGAUAACCUUCCUUCAGGUGGGAAUAACCCAGUGAAAAUUGGGCUAAUACCGCAUAACAAAACGAUGAGACAUCUUGUUGUUUUCAAAGGCGCAAGUCGCCAGAAGAGGGAUCCGCGGCCGAUUAGCUUGUUGGCGAGGUAAUGGCUCACCAAGGCAAUGAUCGGUAGCCGGACUGAGAGGUUGGCCGGCCACACUGGGACUGAGACACGGUCCAGACUCCUACGGGAGGCAGCAGUGGGGAAUCUUGCACAAUGGGCGAAAGCCUGAUGCAGCAACGCCGCGUGGGGAUGAAGCUUCUCGGAGUGUAAACCCCUUUCGACCCGGAAGAAAGCCCGCAAGGGUUUGACGGUACGGGUAUAAGAAGCCCCGGCUAACUACGUGCCAGCAGCCGCGGUAAU